rnacentral:misc_RNA from 1 species
CACACUUCGUGGAACGAAGGGGUUGCAAAGCUGCGUUACGGGUUUGGAUAGCUGCUUGAAAACCUCCACCAGCCAGUCGCUCGGAUUUUGAUACACGCUUACCAAGUCGCAACUCUUCCUUCCGUAUCCGUGAAAAAGCGAAGAGGCAAGGAAUAUUUUGCGUUCCCGUGCAAUUUACAUUCACGUCGUGAUGUCGUCAAGGACGGACACCUGCAAAGAGUGCAUUGAAUCGCACGUGAGCCGCAAUUCUUCUCGAAAAUUAAGCCAUCCUGGAUAGACAAUUGGGUAUAAAGGAUAGCGAAAUGGACUAUCGGGCGAUCGGAGGAACGGCGCUCAACGCAGCUGGAAACAUUGUCGUAGGCGAGAAGAGAGUGAACGUUGCUCGUAUCCAAAUGUCGAGCGCAGGUGUGGAAGGAAACAAUGCGGUAUCGUGAACGGGUCGCAAAUCGACUUAUCUCCACUCGGACACAAGAGCAUCGGUGAACAGACGCUUUGGAAUGCGCUAAUCGUGCGAACACGCGCGACUGCUAGGUCGCUCGUAAUGCAACCUCUGGUCCCAAGAGUACAGUUUGACAGUUCGUCGAAGAUGUCGGACGCUCGAGAGCCAAGAAAUAUCAACAAGUACAAGAUAUCGACUCGAGGUGAAUAAAUCGACACACAUCACGAUCGUGCUGCGAUUCUCGAGAAACAAGUUCAUUGCCAGGCGCCAGACUGAAGUGGCUGUUAUCGUUAACAAAAACCAGAUCUA